rnacentral:tRNA from 1 species
GCCGUCAUAGCUCAGUGGUAGAGCACAAGCAGUUCCUCCAUUCUAUUGAAGCUCAGGUUCGAUUCCUGAUGACGGCU